rnacentral:rRNA from 1 species
UACGGAGGGAGCUAGCGUUGUUCGGAAAUACUGGGCGUAAAGCGCACGUAGGCGGCGCAGCAAGUCAGGGGUGAAAUCCCGGGGCUCAACCCCGGAACUGCCCUUGAAACUGCAGUGCUAGAAUUCUGGAGAGGCGAGUGGAAUUCCGAGUGUAGAGGUGAAAUUCGUAGAUAUUCGGAAGAACACCAGUGGCGAAGGCGACUCGCUGGACAGACAUUGACGCUGAGGUGCGAAAGCCAGGGGAGCGAACGGG